GUUCAUCAUUUUAUGCAUAUUUGAGCCUAUUUGAGGCACCUCAAUCAUUUAUUCAUCAAUAUUGGAAGUUUGGCCUUGAAAAGUUGACCAGUCAAGUCAUCUGUCCAAGCUGAGCACCAUUGAGAUAUAACUUUUGAUGUGUUUGUCAAAUGAAGAUGACCCCAAGAGCAUAAAUGUUCUUAAGAACCAUAUUAACAACUUUCA
rnacentral:lncRNA from 1 species